UGGGGAAUAUUGCGCAAUGGGGGAAACCCUGACGCAGCGACGCCGCGUGCGGGAUGAAGGCCUUCGGGUUGUAAACCGCUUUUGAUUGGGAGCAAGCUUUCGGGUGAGUGUACCUUUCGAAUAAGCGCCGGCUAACUACGUGCCAGCAGCCGCGGUAAUACGUAGGGCGCGAGCGUUGUCCGGAAUUAUUGGGCGUAAAGGGCUUGUAGGCGGUUGGCCGCGUCUGCCGUGAAAUCCUCUGGCUUAACUGGGGGCGUGCGGUGGGUACGGGUUGACUUGAGUGCGGUAGGGGAGACUGGAAUUCCUGGUGUAGCGGUGGAAUGCGCAGAUAUCAGGGGGAACACCGGUGGCGAAGGCGGGUCUCUGGGCCGUUACUGACGCUGAGGAGCGAAAGCGUGGGAGCGAACAGG
rnacentral:rRNA from 1 species